AUGGCCAAGGCGCGCAAGCCCACGGCGUUCUCCGCCGCCGAGCGCUUCCUCGGCUUCCACCACCGCCCCGGCUCCGCCACCGUCGCCCCGUCCCCCUACGACGACCUGCCGGACCUGGCCGAGUCGGACGUCUGGUAUUCGCCAUCGUCGGACGCGCCAACCACCACCGCGGAUCAGGACGGGGUUCAGCGCACCGACAGGGCGCCCAGGGGCGAGCCGCCGCGGCGCGUGGGCGGCCUGAGCCACGCGUUCGCGGACGGGCGGCAGGUGGCGUCGUCGGCGCCCGUCGAGGUGCCCGCGUGGCCGAGCCGGUUCGCCGACCUGGAGCCCGAGCCCGAGCCCGACGAGCAGCAGCAAGAGGACGCCGACGGCUGGGUGCCGCCGCACGUGUACCUGGCGCGGCGUCAGGCCAGGGCCUCGGUGGUCGAGGGCGUCGGACGCACCCUCAAGGGCCGGGACGCGUCGCGGGUGCGUGACGCCGUCUGGAGCCGAACCGGAUUCCCCGGAUGA
rnacentral:rRNA from 1 species